rnacentral:lncRNA from 1 species
GAGACUUUAACUAAUAAAAUUUACUAAUUGGCCAAAAAAAAAAUUCUAGAAAACAAUUAGUAGAUAGAUAUAUGAUACUAGUUUAAGGAAAAAUUUACAGAUCUUAAUUUUGAAUUUCGAAACUUGAGAUAUGAAUUUUUAAACGACUGUGACGCAAUUAGCCAACUUGUCUGGAAAUUUUAAAAACAAAUUGUUUGAGCUGUUUAAUUAAUG